GUUUGAUAUGAAAUUUUUCAGAGCUUGGAAUUCUUCAGGGGUAAAGGGUUUUGAGCUUGGAAUUCUUCAGGGGUAAAAGGUUUUGAGCUUGGAAUUUUUCAGGGGUAAAGGGUUUUGAGCUUGGAAUUCUUCAGAGGUAAAGGGUUUUGAGCUUGGAAUUCUUCAGGGGUAAAAGGUUUUCAGCUUGGAAUUCUUCAGGGGUAAAAGGUUUUGAGCUUGGAAUUCUUCAGGGGUAAAGGGUUUUGAGCUUGGA